rnacentral:rRNA from 1 species
GACGAACGCUGGCGGCGUGCCUAAUACAUGCAAGUAGAACGCAGUUGCGAACGGGUGAGUAACGCGUAGGUAACUGCCUCAUAGCGGGGGAUAACUAUUGGAAACGAUAGCUAAUCCCGCAUCCUGUGAGAUGGACAUGCGUGGUAUUAGGUAGUUGGUGAGGUAAAGGCUCACCAAGGCGACGAUACAUAGCCGACCUGAGAGGGUGCUCGGCCACACUGCGACUGAGACACGGCCCAUACUCCUACGGUAUGUAGCAGUAGGGAAUCGUCGGAAAUGGACGUCAGUCUGACCGAGCAACGCCGCGUGAGUGAAGAAGGUUUUCGGAUCGUAAAGCUCUGUUGUUAGAGAAGCGGUAACUAAACAGAAAGGGACGGCUAACUACGUGCCAGCAGCCGCGGUAAUUC